UCUCAACUGUUGAGAUAUAAGGUUACCUUUCUGUCUUUGUAACUUCCAGAUCUUCAUAAAAGGAAAUCGCAAAAUUAAAAUUUCAACCAUAAAGGUGAAAGAAUUGUGUAAAAUAAGCUCUGAAGUUUCCUUAAAAUCUAACAUUUUAUAUUGUAGAUGACCAGUAGGUUUUAGAUUAUUGCACUGGAUAUUAACAUUUUAAUUCUUCCAAUUUGUUGGAUACUUAGCCGAACAAUUUAUAUUGAAAAUAACAAGAGAUUUUAAAAUCAUGUAUAUCUGACUUACCCUUUGGCUUGGAGAAACAGACACAGGUCAAUUAUAGAUUAUUCAUUUGUUAUUUUAAUUAAAUUAUAUGGACUGUGGCUUGCUAAUGCUCAAGACAGAAAAUGAAAGUGUUUUCUGCCCUUUUCCCUACACUAAGGGAUUAUUGAGAUAAUGACCUAAUAGUCUGGGUUGUGUAUAUGUCAGAAAAACUUCAUUUUAUUAAUAAGUGAUACUACAGAUACUGCCCAUUUAUUAUAUUGAUAGCAGCUGUGGAUAUGAGAAGAGUGGACCUAUAUAUGUCCAUAUAUAGGUAUAACCAAUAUAUAUGUAUAACAUAUAUAUGUCCAUAUAUAUGUAUAACCAAACCACAGGUGUUUUUUUGGAAGUCAUAUUAUACAGGGAGUUGACAGAGGUGUGAGCUGGACUUUAAGAAGCUGCACAUAAGAUGCUAGUAUGAUCAAGCUGGAAUGGACUUAGACAAUUUGAAACAACUUUUCUCAGUUUUCAGAUGAGGAAACUGACGGGUACCAAGCUUAAAUGACUUGACGAAGCUCAUAGAAGAUUAGCAGGUAGUAGAAUAAUGACUGCUGACUCCUAAUUCAGUGGAUCUUCCCUGGCCACCGUUUUGUAUUGAGCUGCAAUGCUUCCUUGACUGUUCUCCAUGCCAGAUUCUUAUCAAUGAUCUUUCACCUAAGAAACAGCAAAGAUUCUGGCAAGCACACGAUCUAGAGAUACAUCUUAUUGCGAUUUUUCACAAAAAUCAAAAGAAGAAAGAAGGCUUAGCUGGUGUUUAAUUAUUGUUAUUUUUUUCAAUAGGGAAAUCUGUACACAAUGAUUUAUCUCCAGUGAUUUGCCAUUGAUCAAUUUUUUUCUCAUUUCAUUUUCUAUUUUUUUGUUUUUUGUUUUUCUUUAUUUUUUAUUUUUUUCUCCUUUUUCUUUUUUUAAAUUUUCUGUUUAUCACAAAUGAUCAUGUAAUUAUAUGUUAAUACUAUGUAACCCCAGUGUUUUCAACUGUUUGUGAUUCAAUGUUACCCAGUUUUCUUUUCUUAAUUUUAAAUAAAUUUGAAAAAUUAUCUUAGAGUGUUUUGAGCCUGUGUUGGUACAUUUAGUUCUAGUUCAUUGUGGUAAAUCCACUUCAGUUUCUAAGUUUCCACCCUUUAGUAAAGACAUAUUUCUAAAUUUGGUUUAUAUCCUCAGUUACAAAAGAUUCUAACUGCUAGUUUUGUGACAGCAAUCACACAUACCAUCAAGGGAUGGGGCAGGCAGUUUUGGAAUGUGCUGAUGCUAGCAUUUUUAUAAGCCUAUGGCUUUUAUAGUCUAAAUUGUUCUUAUUUCUAUUAAUGCUUCAAUUUUUGACAAACACACAACCAUAGAAACAAAUAAUAAAUUUGUUUUUUGGGAAUUAUCCAGGAUUCUUGGUUAAGUGGGGAAUUUAGGCUUUGACAGCAUAAAGGAUCACGGAUAAGUAUUUUUCACGGUGGCUCUAAUUAUAAUGCUGAGCAUGUGGCAGGCACAGAAAUAUUUACUCAUUGACUGAAUAUAGCACAUCGUAAUGUUGAUUUUUUUCCAACAUAAUUUUAGAGCUAGGCAUAUUGUAUUCUAUUACACUAGACUAUAUAUCAUUCUUAAAUAGAACCAGCCUUGCUAGAUAACACAUGUUGGAGGAGAGGCCCUUCUUCUUAGCCCUCAGUGUUUCCAUCUAUGGGGAAGAAGUUCCACCAUACUAACAUUACUAUCGUCUCUCCACCUGCUCACUCACUUCUCCCCAAGGGAGGGGUGUUCGAUAUGGUUUCUGAGCUUGGAAAGAAAACUCAGGCAUGUGUAACAUGGUUCCUUCAGUCCCAUGACCCACUGUCCACAAAUGGGCUGCUCACAGAGUGCAUGCCUUCACCCUUGUUCCUGGCCAUGCAGGAAAUUGUAUGAAACAGUCCUAGCUGAAGCCUGAGAUUUUCCUGCAUUGCCUAGUCCUGGUGGGUAUCUGUCUACUCCUGGAGUUUGGAUUGGAAAGUCCACAUGCCUGAAGGUAUAAACCUAUUCUACAAAGGGGUGUUUUCUAGAAUGAAGGUAAUAUUUUUAUCUUACAUUUGCAGAAAGAGACAGAACAAUGUUAUAGGUGAGUGCAUGGACAAUGACCUCAAACAGCUAAGAUUCAAACCCCUGCGUUGAAUGAUUGAAUUGAAAUGAUUCAAUGAGCUAAUGUACAUAAAGCAUCCAGAAUGUUGCCUGGCACAAGGUAAAUGCUCUACAAAUGUCUGAUAUUAAUGUUAGCCUUUUGUUUCCCCGUUCAGUUGGUUCAGAACGUAGACAUUAUGUACUGGCUCUGCCUCACACCUCAAUAACAGAGAUUUCUUAAAGAAUAACUUAUAAACUCUUUUCAACUUCAAAUCACUCCGUGAUUAGGCUUAUCUUAUACCUUACUAGUUCUUAGCACCAGAAUUAUUUUUCCAAUUGUAGAACUAAUCAUGUUUCUCUGAAAUUCUUAAUUCGUGCAGACCUCUCAGUGGGGCUUCAAACUCUCACAGUCAGACCUCAGCAUACGUUUCCAGCCUUGUCUUCCUUACACACUGUGCUUUGGCACGAGUCUACCAUUGCUCACGGUUCCUGAAUCACAUGCAGUCUUCACACCAUGCAGCUUUGCUCUUUCUGCUUUGAGGGCUUUCCCCCUGCUCUGCUUGAUAGAUCAGAGCCCACCCUUCAUGGCCCAGCUCACAGGCCUACUCCUUUGUGAAACCUUUUCUUCUUACUCCCCAUUCAUGGAGGCCUCAUCUGUUGUGAAAGCAAAAGAACAUCUCAUUGCUGCUGUAACCCUUACUCACUUGAAUUUUAUGAAAAUUACGUGAACUCUGAGCUUCUGAAGGUCUUGGCCAGAGGGUCAGGUUCUCUUUACUUUUGUAUACUCAUCUCACCCAGCCCCUAACACAGUGACUUGCUCUUCAAUGAUUACCCAAGUAUGAGUCCAUCAAGGAAUUCUAUCAGAGUCUUUUCCAAAAUACCAACCAAACACAUCUACCUCUUUCCAUCUCCAUCUGAUCACCAUUAUCUCUGACUGGGUCUACUGUGGAAGCCUCCUAAAUUUUCUCCCUGCCUCUGUGCUGGCCCUAAUUUGGGUUAUUCCCUAAAUGGCCAUUGGAAUAAUGGAGUUAAGAUAUAAACCAAAUUAGGUUACCUCCCCACAUAAUACUGAAACCUCAAUUUUGAUCUUUCUGCACCUGCCCCUCUUUCACAUCUCAUAUUUUAUAAUCCCCCAUCUGCACCCUCACUCACUGAACUCUACUGACACUUCUCUCCUUUUCUCCUUUUGGUUUCUCAGACAGCCCAAACUUUUCUCAACCUCAGUCUCCUGCACACUCUUUUCCUUCUCCAUGAAAUGCUUAAGUCUUAACUUUUUUUUUUUUUUUUGACAGGGUCUUGCUCUGUCUCCCAGGCUGGAGUGCAAUGGCAUGAUCAAAGUUCACUGCAGCCUUGACCUCCUGGGUUCAACCAAUCCUCCUUCCUCAGCCUCUCACGUUGGUGGGACCACAGGCAUGCACCACCAUGCCCAGCUAAUUUUAAUUAUUUUUUUUUAGAGACAGGGUGUCACCAUCUUGCCCAGGUUUGUCUAGAAUUUCUGUGCUAAAGUGAUCUUCUCACCUUGGCCUCCCAAAGUGCUGGGAUUACAGGCCAUGAGCCAUGAUCUAGGCCAUGACUAGAUAUUGUUGUCCUUUAAGUUUCAGAUUACAAACCUCCUCCUAAGACACCCCGGCCCUCAGUCUAAGUUGAACACCCCCUCUGCGUAAUUCAUUAUACUGUGUAGUUGUAACCCUCAGAGCCUCAUUGUUUUUUUCACUGCAUUCAUAAGGAUUGGUAACAAUCUUUCUUCAGUGUGGGUUUUCCAAUGGUAUUAUCUGUUUUCUCCACUAGGCUAAAACUCCAUGAUGGCAGGAAUGAAGCCCAUCUUGUUAUCACUGUGUCCUGAGAAAUGAGCACAAACAGGAUGCAUGAGAGAACUGUGCUCAGUAAAAAACAGUUCACAGAUAGACUCUGAGGUCUUAAAAAUUCUCCAAGCAGAAACAGGACCCAGAGAGUACCUGGUUAAAGUCCUUCAUUUUACAAAGGGGAAAAUCAAGAUCCAGGACUUGUAAUGAGUUCUCCUAAUGCCCCAAGUCAGUGUCUGCCCAAAGGUCUCUGGUUUUUAGGGUAUCCUUCAUUAUCAAGUUCUCUUGCUUUAGGCUUCUGGAAACUAGCCAAUAACUGUAGAUUAUUAAUAAAGUAAUAUAACAGGAAAAUCAAAUGCUUCCUACACAACCUUUCACUGAGAAAUGAAAGCAAAGCCUAAGGAAAUGCCAUCUGACUAAUUUCUAACCAAUGCAAAUCUUCUCUCUUAGUCACCCCUAACAAAAAUGUCAAUGUUCUAUAAGCACAGUGAGAGGUGCCAAGGCCCAAGGCAGCUUUUUAGAUCUGCUCUGCCUCACAGAAGGGUCUAGGAUCUACUGCACAGUGGAGUGGCUCAGAGUUGCACUUGUUUAUUGGGCAAAUAGAGAAAAUCCAGAACCUUCAACAAACACCCUCUUUCUUCUAUGCCGUGGAGGGUUUUCUACCAUUAUCUGUGGCAUAUUUGUUAAUUGGUUGCCUUUAUUCAUGUUCCUGCUUCUUUUCCUCUUCAAGCCUCAAUGUUGUCAUCUCUAAAAUAGAGUGAUUGAUAUUGGCAGUCUUUUUAGCCUUGGCAUUCUUUGACCAGGAUUCUCCAAACAGAAACAAGAUCUAGAGAGUACCUGGUCCUGUUUCUGCUGUACAGUUAGUUCUCAACUUCAAAGGAUAAAUAUGAUUUGCUGAGCACAUUACUUAGGAUCUACCAUGCAUGGGAAAUUAGAUAAUCAUUUCAGCUCCUAAUUGCAUCCUCUAUUGUCCUGAGCAAGUAUAAGAUGCUGGUGAAUCCUGGAGCUAACACUUAGGUUUUCUGUUCCUUAGGACUGUAUUGUCUGCUAGACCAUUUAUUCAAAGUGGGAGGAUGAUGUUCUAAAAGCCAAUGAUAAAGCUCAUGGCAAUGCAGGGUAUAUCUGAUGGCAUGGAAUGCUUUAGGAUGGCCAAGAUUGCCCAUCAAAUGCCAAGUCACCGAAGGUACUCAUUUAUUCUAAAAAUAUCCACUAAGCAACCCUUUCUAAUAUGUGUUGUUCUAGGUUCUGGGAAAUAAGAAAUCAUUAGAAAAAGAUUUCUGCCUUCUAGAAGUACACAGUCUAAUGGUGAGAUAGGCAGGUAAGCUAUUACAACACAGUGAGAUAUGCACACGAGUAAAGCUGUUUUUCUUUGGUGUGCUCACAGUAAAGGGUAUAACUAACUCCAUCUGUGGGCUUCAGAAAGGGCUUCCCAGAGGAGGAUAUUUGAACUAGCUCUUGAAGGAUGAGAAAGAGUUUGCUUCAUAGAGAUAAAGGAGAGGAUAACAGCAGGUAGCAAAGCAGCAGUACACAAAGGUACUGAGUCCAGGCCUGGUCUCCUUUGGAAAUGGAGGAGGAGUAUAAGAGAAUUUUGUGGUAACAUCAGUAAGGAAAAAGAUGAAGGAGGGAGAGUAGAAAUGAGGCUGGAUGGGCGGUUUUGGAGGCCAACUGAGGAGGGUCUUACAUGCUAUGUUAACAGGCCUAGACUUCAUUCUAUAUGCAAACAGGGAGAUCCGGACUAAUGAGGGGUAUGUGUGUGUCCUUGUAUGUGCAUGUGCACGAAGGUGACAUAAUCAGGUAUGACUUUUAGAUGAUACUUGGUGACAAAGGAAGGGUGGAGAAUGUAAACUAGAGAAGCCUGGGAUAAUAUGGCUGCUUGGGAAUGGUGAGAAUUCUGGCAGCUGCAUUGCUGAUGAGUAAAGUGGAGGGAAGCUUUGGAAAAGUGUUUAGGGCCAAUCAGUAGAAGGUCAUACAUUCAUACUAAAGGGUUUGUUUCAAUAAGUAUAGCUAAAGAAUCCCACUCAUAGCUUUUUUUCCUGUGGUUUACAUGACAGUUAUUAAUGGCUCUCCUACUAGGAGCCUGACAUCAUGGUGAGCAUCGAGAAAGGAAUAACCUAAGCUGAAGACACGCCUUUUCAGGAGGCCAAGUUCCACGUUCUGUGCAUGCUUUUGGCGAAAGUCAGGUAAAGCCUCCAGAAAUGCAUGGUCUAUUCUCUCGGACCAUAUGGCUGUGGGCAAACUCUGGCUUCUUGGAGCCUCCAUUAGCCACCUAGGGAAAGGUAAUUGGCUUUAUGUUUGGCUCCAUCACUGCUGGCGACAAGCUCCACUGCAUUCUCAAGCAGUAGAUGAAAUACAACUGUGCUCCUGAAUGCAGCAAAGGAAAGAGAACCCAACUGGACCAGUGUGAAAUUGGGACCUUUGGAGGCAAGAAUGCACAUAUUUAUAAAUGAAUAAACAUAAUUUUUCUCUCUUCUUCCCAUUGGCAGCAUAUCUGAAGGCCCUGACUCAACAGUAGUGGGUCUUAAUGCUUGUGCUUGUCCACCCUUCUCGGCAGUGAUUGAUUUCAUUGUUGGCUUGUUUUCAUGACUUGAAUGUGCGAUCUUCAGAGGGCCUAAUUCCUUGCAAGUUCCAUUUGAGGGUGGAAGAGCUAGAACAAGCUAUAACCAGUAGACAACUCCGUGACUCAGGAGCUUAAGCAUGUGACUAAUUAGUAAGAAAAAAUGUGGUGAAGAUUUGUAGUUAAUAAGAAGGAAAGAAGAAUCACUGGGGCUAGAAUUAUGCAAGCUUUUGUUUCCUUUUGGGACUAUAUCAGAACUAUGAGAGAAGAAAGGCUACCUUUUACCUUUGAGGAAUUUUCAAAGCCUUUUUUUUUUUUUUUGGUUGGUUUGUGACUGACAAAGGGCACAAUUUCAACACCUCAGAAAAAUGCCUCAUCAUUUCCUCUUGUGAAAUCUGGGUGCUUCUGAAUGAAUCCAUGUUAGGAAUGUGUACUUCCAUCCAUUAAAGUCAAUGUCCAGUCUCAUUUUGGGCCAGAGGCUGUUACUAAGUUGUAGUACUGGUGAGAAAAGGACAGAGCAUUUACCUUCCCUGGGUAUCCUGUGACCUACAUGUGUCCUUGCAAGGCAGGGAAAUGUUACUAAUUAAGAGCAUAGCCUUUCGUCAGAUGGGUUCAGAUCCUAACACAUCCUCUUUCUGGUUACAGGACAGUCCUCUCUGAGCCUCAGUUUUCUCAUCUCUAAGAUGAGGCUAAUUAUACCUACUUCCCAGGGGGGUACUAAGGAUAAAGUAACAACACAAGAAAAUUUUUUAUCCUUGAUUUUCUUAGCUGGAAAAUUAGGCUAGAAAGACCUCCAUCCUUGGGGUAUUUAAAAUAAAAGGACAAACAUAUGAUGAGUCUAAGUGAUCAAUACAUUGUGGCUUUUGUACUUACUAUUCUGAAACAUGGGUGUGGCCUAGAUACUUUCCAAAAUUCUGCCCUCUCCACCUAGCAAAAUGACAACCAGACUUACAGAUAUGCCAACAAGCUAGUGUUUAAUAAUGGUGUUUGAUGAUAAAUGGCAUUUCUUUUCGACAUUUGUCUCUUUUUAAAACUUGGUGCUCUUAAAUGCAUCAUUGGAUAAGUGAUGACUGUUCCCAUUCGCAAGAAGAGACCUGGAAUCUAAGCAUGAAGGACCUGUCCUGAUGUUGAGAAGUGUGGAUCACAUUUAUUUGUAAACUUAGCUUCUUGCUCGUCUCAUGGUUGCUUUUUUUUCUUUUUCCUUUUUCUUUUUUUUUUUUUUUUUUUUUUUUUUUUUUUUGAGAGGGAGUCUCACUCUGUCACCCAGGCUGGAGUGCAGUGGUGUGAUCCCGGCUCACUGCAACCUCCACCUCCCGGUUUCAAGCAAUUCUCCUGCUUCAGCCUCCCCAGAAGCUGGGAUUACAGGCACGUGCCACCAUACCCGGCUAACUUUUUUUUUUUUUUUUUUUUUUUUUUGGGAUUUUUAGUAGAGAUGGGGUUUUGCCAUAUUGGUCAGGCUGGUCUCGAACUCCUGACUUCGUGGUCCGCCCACCCGCCUCAGCUUCCCAAAGUAUUAGGAUUACUGGCGUGAGCUACCGCGCCUGGCCUUAUGGUUUUUCUCAUUUUUUCUUCCCUUCCUCCCUCGAUUCCUUUGUUCCUUUUACUCUACCAUGCCUACUGUAAAGAAUAAACAAUAGAUUGGAUCUACUCUCAAGAUGCAGGAUAGAGAAAACCAUCAUUUAUUAAAUGGCAUCUACACCGCAGGCUUUGUACCAGGCACACACUCCACUGUUCCCAGUUAUCCCUUACUGCACCCCUAGAGGUAUAUGUUUUCCCAGAAAAGAUAAACAAGUUGCCCAAAGUCACAUAUCACAUAGCUAGCAAGCGAACAUGGGGCUGAAAUAAAACACUGCCCAAUUCCAAAAUCCAUAUACUUGUUUCUUCAUGUUUCCCUAUGAAAAUGGCAAAGGUGAGGAGUGUGUGGUGUGUGUGCGUGUGCGCGUGCAUGUGCGUGUGUGUUUGCACAUGGAAAAUUCCAAAUAUCACAACUUCUCUAUAGACACUAGACUCAUUCUUUGGCUAUGGCUGUGUCCGUUAUCCCAAACUCUAUCUUUACCCCAGUUUUUACACUUGCAAAAGUAGAGAAACUUUAAGGUCCACCAGCUUUUACUAACCUCCCUCUUGCUCUGAUAGCUGUGUAAUAAUUUUUGUAUCCUUCCCAGUGGGUUCCCAGUCUUUUCAUCUGCUAGGACCAUCUGGUAACUCAUCACCAAACAUGGUGCCUGACAGCAUCACUGGUGCCCUGCAAAUGUCCACCUGAUAAAUGAGUGAAUUAAUGAAUGAAUAAGAAAAUGAAGGAUACUGGCUGCCCCUGGCCAACUAUAUCUUGGCUUUGGCUUGUCAUUCUAGAUUUGUGAUACUGGCUUCUAGCAGAAGCUUAAAGCCUCUUUUUUGUUCUUUUGUUCCUCUAAUGUACUCCCCCUGCCCCUCCACCAAGAUGGGAAGGAGGGCUGAUCUGAGCAUUCAGGUUUCAGAAUGCUAAUUGGAUAGCAGCCAAUUAGAAGUAGAUCCGUAAGGAUUUAAUUAGACUUUCUGGGUAGAUUUGGAUAUUGCUUUCAAAAUGAAAAGGCCCCAAAUCCAGGUUCCCCUGGAUUAUAAUAGUUUUAUGGCUCUGCCCUGCUUUAAUUUGAGGCUAGUUGGCAAUACCCUGUCCAGGAAAAAGGAAUCUUCCAUGUAGUCCUGUCUGUUCUACUGAGGUCUACAUUUGGGUUUUAGCAAACAAUUCAGCUAAUAUAUAUUAUUUUUCUUUGUUCUCAAGGAUUUAAUGGCAAGAUGCCAUUAUAGACAAGAACAGGAUUCAGACACUUUCGUGUUAUGUGUUCUUGUCCAAAUACUGUGUCACUCUGCACUGGCAUCCCAAUCCCACCAACACCUUUAGCAGGAACUUCCUGUUUCAAUAACAUUUCUCAAUACUCUACCUGAUUGCUUAGAAUCCAUGAGACAGCCAUAUUCUCCAUGUCUAGGUCCCUAUCUUAUUUUUGUUGAGAUGGUGUUAAGACUUUAUUUGUGAGGCUUCUGGGGAAGAGGAGUAAGGUAUUGAUCCCACUGACUGGAUAAUUUGGGUCUCAAAAUGGAUAAUAAAUAAGCAUUACAUAUUUUGACCACUUCCUUGGAGGAGAACUUCUUGGAAUGUGCACCAUGUCCGCUGCACUUUUUUUGCACAGAUAUCUAAGUUGGAGAAACAUACUACUAGAUAAAUCAAUUUGUUCUCUUAGUACUCAUGAUAUGGUUCCUGGGAACUUCUGAUUCACCAAAUUAAUCUUGGCCAGGUACAUACCUGGCAGGAAUCCAAAAAUUCCCCAAGUCUCCUUGAAGUUCAGGAUCAUCAUUCUUAAUAAAUACACCGAGGGAAAAACCAUGGAGAGUUUGUCCCAGAUGCUGUGAAUCUGGCCCGGGGUACAUGAAGAAGUCCUUAAUUGCAGUCAUUUACAUGGUAGAUUCUCUAUAAUCAUUUAAUUUGCUAUAGGUCUAUGAUUUUUAGUCCUUCUUCUCUAAAUGAUUGAACAUGUAUAAUUCCCAUUUCAAUCAUAUUACCUGGAUGAACAAAAGUAACGCUAGACUCAUUCAUGCAUUCUGGUUGCCAAGGAAAAGGAAAAAAAAAACAAAACAAUCAACAGGAUGUUUAAACUGUCUUAGGGCAACUUCAGGCCAUAGUCACUGGUGUUCUUGCAGACUAUGAGAUAUUUUACAUUCUGAUAAGGGAUAAAAAUUCGUGCCUCACAUGGCUCCCAUCACACUAAGAUCUUGCAACAAUAACACUACUGAUUCAGACAUUAAUCUUAAGUAUCCAGGGAGCCCUAAAACAUUGUAUCCCACUAGCAAGGACCAUGGUAAUUGCCACGUAAAUCCCCUCCAUUAUGUGGCCCUUAUUAUGACCAGCCAGCCAAGGCUUGCCUUUAAAUCAUACCAAUUGAACCGAGCCUUGUAGAAACACUAUCACCUACGCAUACCUCUGCUUCUUUUCAUUAACCUGCUAUCCUCUUUACAAAUGGGAUUCUUCACCCACUCCCUUCUUCUAGAUUAGCAAUGCCCUGUUAAGUAAACGAACACGAAAUUCAAAGGGAAACAGGAGCAAUCAUCAUUACCAGCUGCCGUGUUAAGCAUUGCGAAAACGCUCACGAUUCACAGAAAAAUCCAUGCUGUUCUUUGAAGGCAUUCAAGCCUUAAUAGCUAGCUGGAUGAAUGUUUAACUUCUAGGCCAGGCACUACUCUGUCCCAACAAUAAGCCCUGUACAUUGGGAAAGGUGCCGAGACAUGAACUUUGGUCUUCUCUGCAAUCCAUCUGGAGCAUUCACUGACAACAUCGACUUUGAAGUUGCACUGACCUGGCCAGCCCUGCCACUUACCAGGUUGGCUCUGUAUGGCUAAGCGUUUUCUCCUAAAAUCCCUUGAAAACUGUGAGAAGACCAUAAGAAGAUCAUAUCUUUAAUUCUAUUUCACAAGUCACACAAUAUUCCAAUCAAAUACAGAUGGUUGAGAAAAGUCAUCCAUCUUCCCUCCCCACCCUCCCACAGCCCCUCAACCACUGCCCUGAAACUUAUAUGCUGUUAUCCGCAGCUCCAUCUGGAGCAUCACAGCUACUGUCAACCCUGACGCUCUUUCUGAAAAAACACCGGAUGGACAUCAGAACUAUUUCUUUAAGGAUGUUACUGAGCCACACAGGAAAACUUGCCUUAUGAUUUUGAAUGCACGGAUCUGAUUUGACUAAACAUGAUAACUAGAGAAUCACCCAAUCUACUCCCAUUUUCAACUCUAAAUCAUCAGAGUGUCUCAAAUCCAAAGCACACACAGACCAGCCUGGCCAACACGGUGAAACUCCACCCCUACUAAAAGUAUAAAAAUUAUCCAGGUGUGGUGGCGGGCGCCUGUAAUCCAAGCUACUUGGGAGUCUGGAGGCAGGAGAAUCCCUUGAACCUGGGAGAUGGAGGUUGCAGUGAGCAGAGAUCACACCACCGCACUCUAGCCUGGGCCACAAAUCAACAACAACAACAACAACAAAAAACAAAGCGCACACAGAGACUGAGGUCCUCUUUGGCAUUGAGAAGAUGGCUAUGCAAGUCCCAACUAGCAAGUGCAAACUUCCCAGCUUCACUUCUGCCAGUGUCCCUUCACCCCUUCUCAACCCCACUGGGAGGCAGGAGGGUGCUUGACAAUAACAGCCUUGGCAUCACUCUGCCAGGGUGUAAUAGGAACUGUUACAAUUCUGAGAUUCUGUGUAAGCACUGGCCUUUCUGCCUAGAAUGCCUUCUCCUCUCUUUUUUAACUGCAUGCUCCUAUUUAUCUUUCAAAGCCCGGAAAAAAUAACACUGCACACGGGAAAUGCUCCCUUCCUACUGCAGUCAUUUAGAUGACUCUAUGCCAUUCCAUUCAUUUCUCUUUCCUACCACAGAAGUGCUUUGAGAUUUUGGAGUCAGACUGCUUGAACUUGAAUCCUGGCCCUCUCAUCAGAGACUUGACUUAUUUUAGGCAAGUUAUAUAACCAAUUUUACCUCAGUUCCUUACCCAUAAAAUGGGUCUAAUGAGAGUACCUACCACACAGAAUUUUGAUGAAAACUGAAUGAGAUGAAGGCCUUUAAGGCAGUGGUCCCCAACCCUGGGGACACAGACAGGUACCAUUUUGUGGCCUGUUAGGAACUGGGCCACACAGCAGGAGGUGAGCAGUGGGUGAGUGAGAUCAGCGUUAUUUACAGCUGCUCCCCAUUGCUCACCUUACUGCCUGAGCUCCACCUCCUGUCAGAUCAGCAGUGGCAUUAAAUUCUCAUAGCAGCACAAACCCUGUCAUGAACUGCACAUGCGAGGGAUCUAGGUUGUGCGCUCCUUAUGAGAAUCUAAUGCCUAAUGACCUGUCACCGUCUCCCAUCACCCCUAGAUGGGAGUGUCUAGUUGCAGGAAACAAGCUCAGGGCUUCCACUGAUUCUACAUUAUGGUGAGUUGUAUAAUUAUUUCAUUAUAUAAUACAAUGUAAUAAUAAUAGAAACACAGUGCACAACAAAUGUAAUGUGCUUGAAUCAUCCCCAAACCAUCCCAGUCCACGGUCUUCCACAUUUUGUCUUUUCACAAAAUUGUCUUCCACAAAACUGGUCCCUGGUGCCAAAAAGGCUUGGGACCACUGCUUUAAAGCCUUUGCAUAGUGCUUAGAAUUGAGGGGGAAAAAAAAAACAAAAACAAUGUAGCUAGUUGCUACAAUCACUAUAUUGGUGAGUUUCAAAAGGAAAAGAAUUCUGUCCCAUUUAUGCUUGAGCCUUGAGUUGCUAACCAAGCCUGACACAAAAUUACUGUUGAAGGGAUGUGUGAGUCCUAAUUGAAAUGAGGCCUCUUAAGGGAAUUGUGGACCAAACCCCAAGCAGGCAGAAAGCCGUAUCUUAAUUAUUGCAAGUAUUUCAGGCAAGGUGUGGAUGGCCAUUUGAAUUCAAGCAGACUAGGACCUGGGAUGAGAAAGAAGGUGUGUACGUGACUUGAUCUUUGAACUUUAGCUCACCAUCUGGAAGAAGGCUGAGUAUUCUCUGCACUCACAUAGUAGCUAAUGCCUACUCCCCAGCCACCCACAAUUCUUUCUGUAGGAAGGCUCGCUAGAAUACUUUGUGAUAUUGGAUAUUAGUUCCAUAUUCUACUGUGUAUCUUAGUUCAACCAAAUUGUAAUCAUCUGAUAUUUAUUUCUUUUAAUAUAAAUAUAAGUAUAUUAAGUCUUGGCAUGCUUGCUCAGUCUCUCUCUCUCUCCCAUUCCUCCCCGCUCCCCUCUCUCUUUCCCAACAGGCUUGGAAAGCAGGCAUCACCAUGCCUAUUUAACAGUUGGGGUCCCUUGGCCACCAGGUGCUGGAGUAGGAAUCUGAGCCCGGACAUGCCUGAUCUGUAAAUUUUGUGUUUUCCCCACUGUGCUGGGCAGAUCACAGCUAUCAGCGCCAAAUUCAUAGAAGGGGCGCCCCCUGUGGUCAAUUGAGGGAUUUGUGUUUGAGGUAGAUCUCAAGAAGGAAUGGGUGGGGAACUUAGCCUAGGACAGAGCAGAAAGGAGCCCUCACUCCCCAAGCACCAACGGCCUCAGUCCUUCCUGCUGACUCCAGCCUCUAGCUCUCACCCAGACUAUCUGCAUCCUUCUCUCCACCACGCUCCUUUGGAACCUGCGUAAAACACAGAUUAAAGGAAUUCCGCCUUACUUCCCUUUCCGCAUUAUGACCAAAUGGUUUUACACUAUCAUUGAACAGUUUAGUACAAAACAUGCCACCUUUUAAUCUAUUCAUUCAUUUAACAAAUACUUUGGAGUGUUUACCAUGUGCCAAGUGCUGUUCUAAUAGACAUAAGCUGUGAGGUUAUGCUUAUCUGAUUCUCACAGCAACAGCUUUCGAGAUAUGAAUUGGUAUACUCAUUUGACAGAUGAGGAAAUUGAAUUCAUGUAGUGAGAAAGGAAGAGCUGCAAUUCAGGGUUACUGGUUUCUCCUGCACUAAGCACUGAGCCACACUAGAAGAGAAGGCAUGAGGAAGACAAAAGUGAGAAGGUACGAGAGAAGAUAUUAAGUAGAGGUCUAUUAGUUCCUCUUAAAACUAUUUAUGAAAGAGGCGGAUGGGGUAGUGGAUGGGAAAGACAGAUGGAUUCAUGUUCUUCACUCCAGGUUUCCCCCCAUUCCCUUCCCUUUUAAAUGCCUGCUCAUUUUUUGGCUACCUUUCAAGCUCUAGGAAAUACUCUGGAAUUCCAGGCUGGGAGGGGUUUCCUUUGCAGAUCUGGCUAUUGUAACUUUACAAGAAAUUGCUCAAUACUUCCUCUCACCAGUUACAAACCACGGUUUUCUGAAUGAACUUUAUGUUCAUUAAACAGUUAACCCUUCAGCUUUCUGACUCACAUUUUUCAUGUUAUUAAUCAGCUCUUAGAGUAAGGUAAAAUCUAGAACAGACUUUAUAUACACCCUCCCUCCCACACACAUAUACAUACAUAAUACAAACACAGACCACACAUGUCCACAUCCUUAUGCGCAAACACUAAGAAACACACGCAUACACAAACAUACAUGUACACAAAAUUAAAUACAUAGCUAUGGCACUUUCACUAUACAUGUAAACACCCUUACACACAUACAAAUGUACAUGCGCGUGUGCGCACACACAUAUGGAAUUAGCUUUUUCUCUUUGUGGGAGGAGGGAAAUGAAAAGACCCAAAACAUUCAGAUUCCCAAAUGGACACGUAAGAACCCCGUCAUGGAAAUAGGUCUGGGUUUUUUUCUCUUUUGAGGGAAGCAGGGCGUUUCUGGUUACUGUCGCCAUUGCCAUUGUGCCCCUGCUUACCAUCCCCCUGCACCGCCCCCCCGGCCCCCGCCCGCCACUGCUAGGGUUUACAGGUCAUCCCUGGAUUAAAUAAGUGAUAUUGUGUUUUUUUUUCUUUGACACAAAGUAAAAUUAUAAUUAAUAUUGAAUAAAGUAAAAAUGAACUCCUGAGUUCCAGUCCCUUAUGUAACACACCUGGUUUGUGGCAGGCACUCAGGAAAUAUUAGUUGCAUGAACGAAGGCUGCAUUUUCAUUAGAACAACAUGCAGUUCAACCCCUUCAUGUUUCAAUGAGGGUUCAGAUACCCAGAGGGCUAUGCUAUCAUCCUGGAGCCCACUCUGCUAACAAUUAGCAGAACGGAAGCCUUAAUUUCCAGAUUCUAGUGAACUUGAUGAGUCAAGACUAUUGCAAUUGGAAAUCUGUUCUCCUCUGCUGCUGCAUUCCCUGCUUAAUACUCAAGCCAGAAACCAGGAAGGCUGUGGCUUGCCUUUUCACUUCUUGUGUCCUGUUUAAGAAAUAUCUGCUAUCCCAAGCAUCUGGCAUCUUUCUUGACAUAUGUAGCAGUUGCUUUUUGACAGCUUGCUUCUUCAGUGAAUGAAUAAAUUAAUAAAGAGAAAUGUGAUGUUCAGUGAUCCAUUUUGCAGCAUUUAUUAAAUACUGGUGCAUAAUGAUGGAAUAAAUUUUAUACCGUAAGGAUAAACCAGUAUUCUGGACUAAGCCAACGUGGGAGACCCUAGGAGGCCUGUUUGAGAAAGUGACAUUUAAAUUGAGACUUGGCGGUGGCUGUGGCUACAUAUCUAAUUGCAAACUCCUAGAGAAGGGCUCAACAGUGAGUGCUGAGGCUGCACAGAGGAGGAAGGCAGCACAAUGAUGGAAGGCUUCCUAAAGAGAUAACACUAACAAAGUUGACCUUAGAAUUGGAGUGCCUGGGUUAGAACCCUGCUGGUACCACCUGCUUACUGCAUGCUUCUGAUGUGAGUUCAGGAGAAGACACUGGCAAGGACAGCAAAGAACAGGAGAACACUCUAGCUUCCCUGAUAGCAUUCAAGGUGCUGUCCAAACUGACUGUGAUGGCACCCUCCAGACAGACAGCGAUGCCACAUGUUCAAGAUGGCAGAAUCACUAUCAGCUUCAAUUCCUGAAUGACUGCAGAGCAAAAUUUCUUACCUGCAACAUACACUCUAUUUUCAGCCUCCCUGGACUGUUACAUAAUGAUACAUAAAAAUAUUUCUUGUGUUGAGGCAUCCCAAAUUUGAUUUAUUUGUCAUCACAGUCUAUCCUAUGAAUAUAUUUCUGAUCCAAAUAAUGCUAGAUUCAUGAGAGUUUAUAGUCCAGAGAUUUUUUUUUUUUUUUUGAGACAGAAUCUGUCUCCCAGGCUGGGGUGCAGUGGCAUAAUCUUAGCUCACUGCAACCUCUGCCUCCCGGGCUCAAGUGAUCCUCCCUCCUUAGCCUCCAUGAGUAGCUGGGACCACAGGUGUGCACCACCACACCCCGCUAAUUAUUUUGUAUUUUUUGCAGAGGGGGGUUUCACCACAUUGCCCAAGCUGGUCUCAAACUCCUAGACUUAAGGGAUCUGCCUGCCUUGGCCUCCCAAAAUGCUGAAAUUACACUUGUUAGCCAUAGUAAUAGUUCCUAGCCAUAGUCCGGAGAUAUUUUAAAAACUUUAGUGUGAGUUAUUUCUCUUUGCUAUAAUUCUCUCAUGCAUUUUGAAAACCUUUUCUGCCAUACAGUGGUUUUUGGGAAGUCCUUUUGGACAGACAUAUCACAGGAUGGAGAAACUAAAAAGAGAGAAUGCAUUAAAGAAAAAAUAGUACUUCGUAUUUCAGAAAUUACAAAAGGGUGUCAUGCCCCACAGCAUGGUGGGCAGUCAUUUGUAACCCACAGAACAUUGAGUUUCUAAAAUUUGAGUGUUUUUAACUUACGAAGGCCAACUUUACUGAUGAAGUGAUUACCCCAAAUAUGUGAAAUCCAUAUUUCAAGUACAAUAGUAGGAAAUUGGAAAUGGGUAGGUAUAUUUCUGACUGUCAAAGAGUACAAAGUAAAGAGGGGCCCCUGAAGAGUGACACUACUGGAAAAACAGAAGAAAAAAAAAACUGUUUCUUUUUUUAAAGAGCAGUCAACCUCAAACUUACUACUAAUGACUGUAUUUCAUUUCAGUCUACCCCAGUGGUUUUGUUUCUCAUAGACUGUAGAAUGUAAGCCUUUUUGGUCAUUCUGACAGAUUUUCCAGCACAAAGAAUAUCAGGGGAUUAACUGACAAAUCAUGGGUAUUUUUGGCAAGAUAGUAGAUUAACCCUGGAAAUUUUCUCCAUCUAUGAGAAAAAAAGACAUGUGCCACCUGAGGGUUACAAAGACUGUUGGUGGCUGACCUCAGGCUCCUGUCUUUUAUUUUAUUUUAUUUUUUUACCAUUUUACCUCUGCCCUGUUUUUUUAAAUUAUUAUUAUUUUACUUUAAGUUCUGGGAUACAUGUGCAGAACUGCGGGUUUGUUACAUGUGCCAUGGUGGUUUGCUGCACCUAUCAACCCGUCAUCUAGGUUUUAAGUCCCACAUGCAUUAGGUAUUUGUCGUAAUGCUCUCCCUCCCCUUGGGCCCCACCCCUCAACGCGCCCCACCCCUCAACAGGCCCCAGGGUGUGAUGUUCCUCUCUGUGUGUCCUUGUGUUCUCACUGUUCAGCUCCCACUUAUGAGUGAGAACACACAGUGUUUGGUUUUCUGUUCCUGUGUUAGUUGGCUGAGAAUUAUGGCUUGCAGCUUCAUCCAUGUCCCUGUAAAGGACAUGAACCCAUUAUUUUUUGUGGCUGCAUAGUAUUCCAUGGUAUAUGCCAUGUGCCAUGUUUGCUUUAUCAUUGAUGGGCAUUUGGGUUGGUUCCAAGUCUUUUCUAUUGUAAUUAGUGCUGCAAUAAGCAUACGUGUGCAUGUGUCUUUAUAGUAGAAUGAUUUAUAAUCCUUUGGGUAUAUACCCAGUAAUGGGAUUGCUGGGUCAAAUGGUAUUUCUGGUUCUAGAUGCUUGAGGAAUCAUCACACUGUCUUCCACAAUGGUUGAACUAAUUUACACUCCCACAAACAGUGUAAAAGCGUUCCUAUUUCUCCACAGCAUCACCAGCAUCUGUUGUUUCCUGACUUCUUAAUAAUUGCCAUUCUAACUGGUGUGAGAUGGUAUCUCAUCAUGGUUUUGAUUUGCAUUUUUCUAAUGACCAGUGAUGAUGAGUUUUUUUCAUAUGUUUGUUGGCCAAAUAAAUGUCUUCUUUUGAGAAGUAUCUGUUCAUAUCCUUUGCCCAUUUAUUGAUGGGGUUGCUUGAUUUUUUUCUUGUAAAUUUGUUUUCAGUUCCUUGUAAAUUCUAGAUAUUAGACCUUUGUCAGAUGGGUAGACUGCAAAAAUUUUCUCCCAUUCUAUAGGUUGCUUGUUCACUAUGGUGAUAAUUUCUUUUGCUGAACAGAAGCUCUUUAGUUAAUUAGAUCCCAUUUGUCAAUUUUGGCUUUUGUUGCCAUUGCUUUUGAUGCUUUAGUCAUGAAGUCUCUGCCCAUGCCUGUGUCCUGAAUGGUAUUGCCUGGGUUUUCUUCUAGGGUUUUUAUGGUUUGGGGUUUUACAUUCAAGGCUUUAAUCCAUCUUGAGUUAAUUUUUGUAUAAGGUAUAAGGAAGGGGUUCAGUUUCUGUUUACUGCAUAUGGCUAGCCAGUUUUCCUAGCACCAUUUAUUAAAUAGAAAGUCCUUUCCCCAUUGCUUGUUUUUGUCAGGUUUGUCAAAGGUCAGAUGGUUGUAGAUGUGUGGUGUUAUUUCUGAGGUCUCUGUUUCAUUGGUCUAUAUAUCUGUUUUGGUACCAGUACCAUGCUGUUUUGGUUACUGUAGCCUUGUAGUAUAGUUUGAAGUCAGGUAGUAUGAUGCCUCCAGCUUUGUUCUUUUUGCUUAGGAUUGUCUUGGCUAUAUGGGCUCUUUUUUGGUUCCAGAUGAAAUUUAAAGUAGUUUUUUUCUAAUGCUGCAAAAAAAGUCAAUGUUAGCUUGAUGGGAGUAGCAUUGAAUCUAUACAUUACUUUGCUCUGCCCCUGUUUAUACAUACAUGACUGAUAUGGUUUGGCUGUGUCCCUGCCCAAAUCUCAUCUUGAAUUCCCACAUGUUGUGGGAGGAACCUGGGGGGAGGCAACUGAUCAUGGGGCAAGUCUUUGCCAUGCUGUUCUUGUGAUAGUGAAUAAGUCUCAUGAGAUCUGACGGUUUUAAAAAGAGGAGUUCCCCUGCACAAAUUCUCUCUCUUUGCCUGCUGCCAUCCAUGUAAGGCAUGACUUACUCCUCCUUGCCUUCUGCCAUGAUUGUGGGGCUUCCUCAGCCAUGUGAAACUGUAAGUCCAAUUAAACAUCUUUCUUUUGUAAAUUGCCCCGUCUCAGGUAUGUCUUUAUCAGCAGUGUGAAAAUGGACUAAUACAAUGAUACAAGAGUAGUUAGAACAGUAUUUAUAAAUGUGCCAAUGUUAAUCAACAUAGGAGUUAACGAUUCCCUGUUUUUCUGUGAUUUCUCAUGCACCAAAAAUAUAUUAAGAUAAAAUAUACAAUUUUCAUUCACUAUUAAGUGACUAACCUCAUAUUGCUUUCAAAGGCAUUUAUUGGCACCUACUAUGUGUGAAUACACUCAGCUUGCUUAUGUGAAAGCUGAAUAACAAAGUGGUUAUGUAACUUAAUGAAGGUCCCACAACUAGGAAGUGGUAGAGUAACUUUCUAAACCACUUUCCUCCCAGUUUAGUUUCACAUUCAUGUGUUCAGUCAACAAGCACUUAUGGAAUCCUGAUGCUGGGCCCUACUUUAUGGUAGACACUGAAGAUACAGACUUUGUCCCUGCCCUCAUGGAGUUCACAGUUCAGGAGGGAAACCAGAUUUAAUCAAAUAACCACACAAAAAUUUGCUCGUAAAAUGAAACCAAUGCUAUAAGGAAAAUGAACAGGGUGAUUUGAGAGCAUAUAAUAGGAUUUUAUCAUAUCUGAUGAUUCAGAGUAAUGUUCUCCUAUAGAAGAGAUGUGGGAACUGACAUCUGAAGUGUCAGUGUUAGUUAGCCAGGUGUGGUAUAUAAAAGAUGACCAGCUUAUCCACCAAGAGGUAGAAUUGCUUUCCCCAUGCAUUAAAUCUGGACUGGCCUUUGACUUGCAGUGUCCAACAGAUAAAGUGGAAGUUUCUGCUCUUGCUCCCUUGGAAUAUUGUUCUGAGACUGCCAGCUGAAGAAGUCUAGUCUAGUCUAGUUUAUUAGUGGAUGAGAGGCUGGUAGAAAAGCGAAAAACUGUUGCAGCUGAGUCCCCUGAGUCCAACCAGUUGACAGCCUGCAGCGACUGUGUGAGGCCAUCUUAGAUUAUUCAGCCCCACUACAGAUGCCAAAUAUCUGCAGCUGUAAAAGUGAUUCCAGGCAAUAACAGAAGAACCAUCCUGCUGAUCCUAGCCCAAAUUGCUGGCCAUAGAACCAUGAGCUAAUAAGACAGCUGUGGUUAUAAUAUAUUGAGUUUGGGGUUGGCAUGUUACAUGGCAGUCAGUUAUUGAUACCCUGAGAGAAGUAUGGAAGCUGGGACUGAAUUCUAGGAAGAGGGAAAGAUAUAGGCAAAGGUCCUGAGGAGGGAAGAAUAAACUUUUAGAGAACUGAAAGAAAGAUGAUGAGAUAGAAGACUUCAGAGGGCUAGGCAAGGCCCAAGUCUAAAAGCAGUGUCUUAGAAUCUGUCAAAAAUCUCAUCUUUUUAUUGUUGUUUGGAACAAAGUCUUUCUUUAUUGCCUAGGCUGCAGUCAUGCAGUGGCACAAUUAAAGCUCACUUCAGCCUCGACCUCCUGAGCUCAAGCAAUCAGCCUCCUGACUAGCUGGGACUACAGGUGUGGAUGACUAUACCCAGCUAUUUUUUUUUUUUUAUUUUUUGUAGAAACAGGGUCUUACCAUGUUGCUCAGGCUGGUCUCAGACUUCUGGGCUCAAGCAAUCCUCCUGCCUCAGCCUCCCAAAGUGUUUGGAUUAUAGGCAUGAGCUAGCAUGCUCGGCUGUGAGUUCAAUUUUUUUCUUUAAAAGCAAGAGAAAGUCACUGUAGAGAUUUUGAGCUCAGAAGUGUCAUGAAUAGACUUGCACAUGUGCAUAUAUUGUUUUUUUUUUUUUUCACCAGGCGCAAACUUAUGGUGGAAGGGACCUACAUUAAGCACACAUAAGUAGAAGCUGGCCAGGCACGGUGGCUCAUGCCUGUAAUCCCAGCACUUUGGGAGGCCGAGACUGGUGGAUCACGAGGUCAGGAGAUCGAGACCAUCCUGGCUAACAUGGUGAAACCCCGUCUCUAUCAAAAAUACAAAAAAAAAUUAGCCAGGUAUGGUGGGGGGCGCCUAUACUCCCAGCUACUCGGGAGGCUAAGGCAGAAGAACGGCUUGAACCCGGGAGGUGGAGUUUGCAGUGGGCCAAGAUCGCGCCACUGCACUCCAGCCUGGGUGACAGAGUGAGAGUCUGUCUCAAAAAAAAAAAAAAAAAAAAAAAAGUAGAGGCUGAGUAGAAGCUGAGUAAAUCCUAUUUUACUAUUUGACUGAUUAAAUCACGAAGAUACCCAGGAGGCAAAACUGAAACAGCUCAGGUGUCUAGGGGAAGUCCAAAGUAGAGGACACUGUGAACCAGCUACCAUGACUGACCUCAGUUUGAAACUACUGGGGUAGUCUGUAUUAUGGCUGAAAAAUUCAUUCUUUCUACCAAGAUUUUCCAUUGAAAAUUUGCCUUUGACUUAUUUAACUUCUAAUCAGCUGACCUUCUACCUUUUUUGCAUUUGAAGUAGAUUUCUUUUAGUAGGCCAGCGGGUAAACAAGGAGAAAACACACAGGGCAAGUCAGAUGCAUCAUUGAACCGAGUUUCUCUCUCUAAACCUGUAAAGUACUAGUGAAAAUUCCUACUGUUGAAUCAAUUACAACUGCAAGCUUAGAAUCAGGGUACAGUGCUACUGUUAAGACUUUGGCCCUUGGCCUUAGUGGUUUGUAAGGCUUGUAAAGAAGUAAAGUAUCUCUUUAUUCCAGUUCUUGAAUCCAGUUCAUGAAUCAAGGGAGAUCCUUGGAUGUCUGAUGGCUGCUAUUCUGUUUCUCAAACAAUUUGAAUUCAGCAAGCCGUCACUGAAGAUAUGGAGUCACACAGUCAAGUUUAAAUCCAUGCUAUGCUAUUUAAAACUUGCAUGAUCUUGUGCUAAUUAAUCAAUUUUUGCUUCAGUUUCCGAAACGGUAAGGGGCACGGGGAUAAUACAGUCUGCUUACCGUAUGGGUGAAGAUGUGGGGGAAGAUUAAAUACAUUGUUCUUACAUGAAAUGUAAACAGAAAGCUCCUCCACAGUAAGCUGUCAGCUAAAGCUAGUUUACUUUCCACUGCUCUUCAAUAACGGAAAGAGUAAUUUUUCAUUACUGAAGGAUAGACGCUGAUGGCAUUUUUUUGUUUCGUAUAUUUUAUAUAUGCUUGGAUUUUAUAUUGAUCUUUGCUGUAAAUUUGCUUAAUUUUAAAUAGGAAAAUUAUCUUUCCUUGGCCUAUGCUUCAGCCUUUACUCCAGUUCAAUGAUUUCAACACUGGCUGGAAAUUGGAAUGUUAACAAAAAUAUCAAUGCCUAUUUUCAUUCCCAAAGAUUCUAGUAUAAUUGGUCUGAAUUGUGGCCUAGGUGUUGGGAUUAAUUUAAUAAAAUAAUCUUUUGUAAAUAAUUUUGUGCACAAAUUCAUUGAACUACAGAGAAUUUUUGAGAAGUAAAGGAUAGGUAUUCCUAGAACACGCUGCUGAUCUAGAUGGAUAACCAACGUUAUUUUCACUACACUCUGCCUAUAGAAUGACAUAAUAAAACUUUUAAAAAACAUUUUUAGUCAAUAUGGCAACUGAAUAGGCUUCAGGUGACCUUAUGGGUAAAAUAGCUUUGUGGCUCAUUAAAUGAGCACUCUUAAAUAUCGCCUGUGGGGAAUCCAGCCUGGAACCAAAGUAUGCUCCGUGGUGACCAGGGAGUUGUGUUACUCCCCUUUACUUGAGGUAGAAAAUAAAAAUAGAAGUAUUGCAUUCAAAUUACCAGGGGUUGUGACCCUCUACUAUCUCAUGUGUGUCAUGUAUCUCACGUGAUGUGGCUUUCGUCACUUGAUGUGUAUAGGCUUCUCAAUUUCACUUAAAAACUAAUUCUUCAAUUAGGGUAUGCUGCCACCAGGUGGCAAUGAGGGCCUCACUUGUGGUCGCUAUCUUUGAAUAAUAGUUGUUCAUUCAUACAUUCAUUCGUUUUUCAUGGCAGCUUGAAAAGGUUGAUAUGCCUUUUUACUUGCUAUCUCUUAAAAUUCAAAAUGUAAACUUUAAUACUAAAACUGAACGUCUAUAGCUAAUUAUAGUUUUAAUAAUUAUAAAGAUUAUAUAUACAGGUGUGCAGGAAUAGCUGCAUAUGUAUGUGAAACUCUACAUGUCUACAUGUAUGAAUGGUUUUAGAGAAAUUAAAGAUAAAAGUAUGUAUCUUCUUCACUAUCCCUUAUUAAUUAUUAGUCACAGCAAAACCAUACAUGGUUAUUUCUAUUCUUCUGUAGCCAAGUUUUGCUGUUAGUAUCUUUAUGAGUUGAGUACUGUUGUGUAAUUUUAGACCAACCUGAUGGUUGUUGGUCUGAAAUUAUGAGAUUGAAUACUAUUGUACUAUUGAGCACUAUUGUAUUAUUAUCUUUAUGAGAUUGAGUACUAUUGUGUAAUUUCAGACCAACUUGAUGUUAAAAUUCAAUCACAGGAUUCUCAAACUUUCUAGCAAUGCGUAAUUCUAAUUAAGGAAUUAUUAAUAUAUUUGCUUUUCCAUAUCUUGGUAAUGAAAUGAUUUCUAUCAACAUUAGCUCCUAAUAAGUUAUCUUUUAUUUCUCUCACACUGAAGAACCGAGAGGACAAUAACAUAGCUUUGUUUUAUUAUUGUGUUUAUUGAGUCCUCAUGACCAAUUUCUCCUAAUCAGAAGAAAGAAACUUUCUCUUGUCCAUAGAAGAGGGAAACAUCAGGAUGAUGUAGUCAUUAGCUAUGUAUGACCUGAAAGUUAUGUGCAAUAAUUCUCCUCUAUCAGAUGAAUAUGACUUCUAUAUCGUCUUAAGUUUUAACAGAUCAACAUAAAGGUUUUAGUAAGAAGCAACUAAGAAAUUAUUUUAAAAACAUACCGUUACCCAUAAAGAAAAAUUGAUAAUGUCUUUGUGCUUCCCUGUGCCUUUUUAAAGGAAAAGUCCCAGUAAUUCACCCCCUCUUCCAAGUUGAUAUCACACAUGCCUGGAGACAUUGUAAGGGGCCACAACAAAUUAAAUUUUGUGUUAUCAAAGAAAGUUCCCAUCUUUGGGUUGAGCAUGAGACAUUUUCACUGCCUCUGAGGUGACUGAUUAGAAUUCUUACCAACUGACCCACUUUCUGCCAAUUGCUGCCUACAAAAACUAAUCACACCCUCUCUUUUAUAAAUGUAAAACAAAGAUGUGGGAGGGUCACUUAGCCCAAGGUGUUUACACAGAGCAAAGCUGAGCAACUUUCUAGAUAACUUCUGAUGCCUAUAGAGCCAGAAGUAAGGAGACCUGGGCUCAGAGAGAGAGUGCUGCUGAGAUAUCAUUUCUCCUUCUAUCUUAAGCUUCUUUGUAUCUUGGAAUAGUUUGCCUUGACUUUAAAGAAUCUAUAAAUCUCAGGAAUAUCUUCAGCUAGGCUGGCCCAGACAUAUGUCUUUAAGAUAGCCUUUUUGAUGGCAUUUCCAUGCAAAUUUUAAAUCAAGGUUGAUAGCAUUAUCAGACAAUAAACACUUGUGGUUUUAAUCUUCAUGAUUUUGACUCUUUGGAAAAGAUCUUGAUGAUCCAUGAAAUUUUUAAAAAAGUAUUAUCAAACCUCAUCUCUAAAAAUGUUGUGGUGGCCACUCCACAUGUCUCUGUCCUUUCUUUUUCUACAUUCAUUUCCCAAUCAAAUGACAUGACUUCAAAUGCAAAAAAUGUUUAUCAUUUCCUGAAAUUAUUACUUAGCUAGUUAAUUCUCAUAUCUUUAUUUAACCUUUCUUAUGUUUCUGCAAUGUUUUCUCAAUUAUUUUUAAUUUCUUCUGAAGCCGGACUUCAUAUAUUGAUACUCUGCAUCAUCAUUCCUGAUUCAAAGUGAAGUACUCUAAGCCUCCCACAAAGCUUCUGUCCAUUCAGUUCAUUCAUGCGUUCAUUAAUUUUUCUACUUCAUUUAUUUAUUCAUGCAAUAAAUAUUUAUUGAGUACGUAUUUUGUUUCACUCUUCUUUUUGUUGAUACAUAAUAACUGCAUAUUUAUGAAGUUCGUGUGAUAUUUUGAUGCAUGCAUAUAAUAUAUAAUAAUCAAAUAGGGGUAACUAGGAUAUCCAUCAUCUCAAAUAUUUAUCAUUUCUUUGUAUGGAAAACAUUCCAAGUCUUCUCUUCCAGGUAUUUUGAAAUAUACAAUAAAUUAUUAUUAACUAUAAUCACCCUAGUGUGCUAUUGAACCAUAAAACUUAUUUUUUCUAACAGUAUUUUUGUAACUAACAAGCCUCUUUAUCGCCUCCCCUAUCAGCCUUUGGUAAGCACCAUUCCACUUUCUACUUCCAUGAGAUCAGCUUUUUUAGCUCCCAUAUAUGAGUGAGAAUGUGCAAUAUUCAUCUUUCUAUGCCUGGCUUAUUUCACUUAACAUAAUGUCCCCCAAGCUUACCCAUGUUACUGAAAAUUACAGGAGUUCAUUCUUUUUUAUGGCUGCAUAAUAUUCCAUUGCCAGGCACUUUUCUUGAUGCUGGUAUAAUAAAAGAGGCAUUCUUGCCCUCAUGGAGCCCAUGUUCUAGUGGAUCAAGGAGGCAAAAUAUAUAGGAAACCUAGAUAGCACAAGGGAGAAUAUUAGCAGCUCCAGGUCUAUUUGGCAAGGUUAAGCUGUCUGCAUGGAACCCUAGCCAGCAAUGGCCAAAUCAAGAAUGGUUUCCUGCGCAUGGCUAGUUCCUGCUGUAUCUGGUGUCAACACUGAAUGGUGGAAUGUUGACUGCUCUGAAGGUUUUCCUUGAUGCCCUUCAAACUGGCCUGGCCAAAAUAAUUGGACUCUUCUCUCACUUCCUGUCCCAGAUUUUAUUUCACCAAGACUAAAGUUUUGCCUUAAAUGUUCAAGCUUCACUUGAAAACUUGUUCCCUGAUCUGCUCUUUCCAGGUCCCACUGGUAGAGAUUGUUCCUGGUCUUUCCUCCCCUAAUCCUGGCUAAAAUACUGCUUUAAGAUGGAAUCAUUACCAUGGCAUUUCCAUUUCUCUGUUUUUUUUUUCAACAAUUUAUUUAUAUACAUUAAAAUAGAAAUGAACUACAUGCUGUAUAUGAAACAUUUUCCUGGGAAUUGGGGAUAUAGAAGUAAAUGAUACUUUUGAUCUAACAUGAUUUACCAUGUUUCACAUGAUAUUUCUUACGUAGCAGCUACUCAAUCCUCUUUUGUCCUAUUUGUCAAUAUAAAAUUGUUUUCAAAAACUUUAAAUGUCUUAUGAAUUUGUCAAGGAUUUCCUGUGGCUGUAGAUAUGCUUUUGUGUGUGGGGUGUGUGUGUGUAUGUGUGUGGUAUAUGUGUGUGUGUAUGGGUGUGUGUGUGUAUGUGAGUAUUGCUGUGUGUAUGUGCAUGUGUUUGUACAUGUGUAUAUGUGUGUGUGUGGUGUGUGUGUGUGUUUUGCAUGUCCUUCUAGGUUGCCAAGCACAACAUCAUGUGAAAAUAAGGAAUUUUGAAUAAGAAGAUAUACAUGCAAUAUAAAUUAUUUCUGUAAUGGUAUAAAUUUUUGUGCUUAAUGUUAUGGACACUUUUGAAAAUGGUAGCUAAAUCAAUGUUGAGUCACUUUAUUUGCACCCGUAAGAUAUCAGGAAUUAUGCAGAGUUGAUGCAUGUGCAAAGGUGUCUGUUAUAGUUUGGAUGUUUGUCCCCCUAAACCUCAUGUUGAAAUUGGAUCCUAAUUUUGAAGAUGGGGGCCUAAUGGGAGGUGUUCAGGUCAUGGGGGCAGAUUCCUCAUGAAUAGAUUAAUGCCUUCCCUGGAGUGGGAGGAGAAGUGAGUGAGUUCUCACUCAUUAGUUUUCAAGUGAACUGGUGGUUAAAAAGAGCCUGGCACCUGCCCCCCUCCCUUUUGCUUCCUCUCUCACCAUGUGGUCAGUUCACACCAGCCUUUCCUUGCCUUGUACUGUGAGUGGAAGCAGCCUGAGGGUGUCAUCAGAAGCAGAUGUUGGUACCAGGCUUCUUAUAGUUUGUAGAACUGUGAACCAAAGAAACCUCGUUUCUUUAUAAAUUAUUCAGCUUCAGGUAUUCUUUUCUCACAACACAAAAUGAUCCAGGACAGUACCUAAAAGCUUCAAUUUGCCAUUUGAUUCUUUCUAUGAGAUGACUAGAUUUUUUGGGAGGACAGGUCUAUCUAUCUGGAAAGAAGCCGUUUGGAAUGGAAGCAGUAUGAAACAAGCAUAAUUUUCUUGGUUUAAGCCAACCUUAUUAUAAGCCCCUGAAUCUUACAACUUUAUUACAUUUCUGCAAAUAUCCAGAAGCUUAUGUAUUUAUUAUUCUUUCAGGCUCUUGAGUUUCUGCUUUCAAGUGACCCUCAGAAAUUCCUCCAUUCACUGCAGAGGUUCUGUUUCUCCUUGCUUUGUUCUGACUUUACGGCAGAACUAAGCUAAUGAGUUAGUUACUAUGGGUUAUCACUUGGAUUUGAAGAACCAUCAUUUCUAGGCAUUGCUGCUCAGAGUGGGUCUGCCCUCAGGGGAAGCUGUCUAACCAGAGCCUAACCCACUAGGGUUUUAUCAGAACCUAACUGACCUGAGGAAAAGAAAUACUCAACUCCAGCAAGCUCCAGCCUUCCAAAUGGAGGAGGAGAAAACCCAACUCCAGCCCACUUCAGCUAUCUUGUCCCACAUAAAGGGGAAGUGGAAGAAACCUGAGAAGCAGGCAUGAAGUUCACAGUCCAGAGGUACAGACACAUCAGAGUUCAGUAUCUGAUGAAUUAGAUGCAAAAACCUCAACAAAGUAUUAGCAAAUUGAAUUCAACAAUGUAUGAAAAUUAUUACAUGCCAUGACUAAUUGGAAUUUAUCUCAGGUAUACAAGCCACGCUGAACAUCUGAAAAUCAAUUCAUGUGAUCCAUCACAUUAGCAGACUCAAGAAAAAAAACCACAUUAUCAUAUCAGUAGAUGUAGAAAAAAAAAAUUAACAAAAUCCAGCACCCAUUCACAAUGAAAAUGCCCAGUAAAUUAGAAAUAGAAGGUAACUUCCUCAAAUUGAUAAGGAAUAUCUCUAAAAACCUACAACUAAAAUCAUACUUAAUGGUAGAAAACUAGAAGCCUUCCCAGUAAGAGUAAGAACAAGUCAAAGAUGUAUGCUCUCACCAAUGCUUUUCAACAUCAUAUUGGAAGUCCUAGCUAGUGCAAUAAGCAAAAAAAAAAAAAAAGUUAUAUUAAUAAGAACAAAAACUGUGUUUGUUUGCAGAUGACAUGAUUUUCUAUGCAAAAAAUUCAAAAUAAUCAACAACAAAAAAAUCCUGAAACUAAUAAAUGAUUAUAGCAAGAUUUCAGGAUAUGAGAUUUAUAUACAAAGGUCAAUUACUUUCAUAUAUACAAGCAAUGAACAAGAGGGAUUUGAAAUUAAAAACGAAACUAUUUACAUUAGUACCCCCAAAAUGAAAUCCUUAUGUAUAAACUUAACAAAAUAUGUACAAGAUACAUAUGAGAAAAACUACAAAACUCUAAUGAAAGAAAUCAAAGAAGAACUAAAUAAAUGGAGAGAUAUUCAAUGCUCAUGGAUAAGAAGACUCAAUAUUGUCAAGAUGUCAGUUCUUCUCAACUUGAUCUAUAGAUGCAAUGCAAUCCCAAUCAAAAUUUCAAAAAAUUAUUCUGUGGAUAUCCACAAACUAAUGCUAAAGUUUAUAUGGAGUGGCAAAAUACACAGAAUAGCCAUAAUGAAGAAGAAUGGAGUUGCAGGACUAUUACUACUGAACUUCAAAACUUACUACAAAGACUGCAUGAUAUUAGCAAAAGAAUAGGAAAAUAGAUAGAUGGAACAGAAUAGAUGGCCUAGAAACAGACCUACAUAAAUACAGUCAACUGAUAAUCAACAAAUGAGCAAAGGCACUACAAUGGAGCAAAGAUAAUCUUUUCAACAAAUGGUGCUGGAACAACUGAAAAUUCACAUGCAAUAACUCAAUCUAGACAUAGACCUUAUACCCUUUACAAAAAUUAACUUAAAAUGAACGUAAACCUAAAUUAAAAUAUAAAAGUAUAAAACACCUAGAAGAUAACAUAAAGAAAACUUAGAUGACCUUGGGUAUAGUGAUAAUUUUUUAUAUGCAACACCAAAGGUACAAACUGUGAAAUAAAUAAUUAACAAACUGGACUUCAUUAACAUUAAUCAUGUCUGCCCCAUGAAAGGCAAUGUCAAGGAAUUUGCAGAAAAGCCAGACUGGAAGAAAAUAUUUGCAAAAGACACACCUGACAAAGAACUAUUAUUCACAAUAUGCAAAGAACUCAACAAUAAUACAACCAGCAAUCCUACUUAUAAACGGACCUGCAAUCUUAAUAGACACUGCACCAAAGAAGAUAUAAGAUAGCAAAUAAGCAUGUGAAAUGAUGCACCAUAUCAUAUGUCUUCAGAUAAAUACAAAUUAAAGCAACAAUAAGAUACCAGUACACACCUAUUAGAAUGGCCAAAAUGCAGAAUACUGACAACACCAAUGCCGGCAAGGAUGUGGAGCAAGAGAAACUCUCAUUUGUUGCUGGUGGGUAUUCAAAAUGGUACAGCCAGUUUAGAGGGCAGUUUGGCCGUGUCUUAUGAAACUAAACAUACACUUGCCAUACAAUCCACCAAUCGUGCUCCUUGGUAUUUGCCCAAAGGAGUUGAAAAGGUAUGUGCACACAAAAACCUGCACAUGGAUGUUUAUAGCAGUUUUAACCAUAAUUGCCAAAACUUGAAAGCAACCAAAAUGUCCUUCAGUAGGUGAAUGGAUAAAUAAACUGUGGUAUGGUGGACAAUGGAAUACUAUACAGCACUGAAAAGAAGUGAGCUAUAAAGCCUCAUGAAAAAGCAUGGAGGAACCUUAAAUGCAUCUUACUAAGUGAAAGUAGCCAAUCUGAACAGGAAAAGGCUACAUACCGUAUGAUUCCAACUAUGUAACAAUUUUUAAAAAGCAAAACUAUAGAGACAGUAAAAAAGAUUAGGGAUUGCUAGUGGUUGGGGAGAGAGAGGGAUAAAUAUGAGGAGCACAGAGGAUUUUCAUGGCAGUGAAACUAUUCUGUAUGCUACUAUAAUAAGGAUACAUAUCAUUAUCCAUUUGUCCAGACCCACAGAAUGUACAACAAGAGUGAAACCUAACGUAAACCAUGGAAUUUGGGUGAUAAUGAUGUGUCAAUAUAGAUUCAUUGACUGUAACCAACGCACCCCUCUGGUAGGGGAUAUUGAGAAUGGGGGAGGCUAUACGUGAAUGGAGGCAGGGGGUAUUUUGGAAUACUGUAACUUCUGAUCAAUUUGACUGUGAAUCUAAAUAUUCCCUAAAAGUAAGUUUAUUUUUUAAAAACUCCUUGUUACUCAGUGUUAAAAAAAAGAGAUAAUAUCUACUAAGUACAUGAUGCAAGGCCUGGAAAAUAAUAAUAGCUGACAUUAUGAAAUUCUUAAUUUGUAUUAAGCUGUAAAGUGCUUCAGGUACAUUAACUUGUUUUAUCUUUCAAGCUAUACUAUUAACUCCAUCUAAUAGAUGAGGAAACUGAGGUACAGAGUGCUUUAGUAGCUCACGCAAGGAGACAAGGCUAUUUGGUGUUAGAGCCAGGGUUUGAGCUCAGGCAGUCUCUCUCAGUGAGCAGACUGUACAGCCUCUCUCAAGUAGUAAACACUUAACAAAGGCAGCUAUCAGUAGCCUCAGUGGGGCGUUUUAAAAAAUGGGCAUUCUAGGAUCUCAGUUAGGGGAGAUCCUAGUUACUUAAUUAUUAAUUCUAUAUUUUUCUUGCAUUGUCUUUUAAAAAAUUAUUGCUGAGUAUCUUUUUACAAUAACUGAAUCCACUUUCUUAGAAACCUAAGGGAGGGCCAGGCACAGUGGCUCACGCCUGUAAUCCCAGCACUUUGGGAGGCAGAGGCAGGCGGAUCACCUGAGGUCAGAAGUUCAAGACUAGCCUGGCCAAUAUGGCAAACCCUGUCUCUACUAAAAAUACAAAAAUUAGCCGGGCAUGGUGGUGCAUGGCUGUAGUCCCAGCUACUUGGGAGGCUGAGGCAGGAGAAUCACUUGAACCCAGGAGGAGGAGGGUGCAAUGAGCUGAGAUCGUGCCAUUGCACUCCAGUCUGGGUGACAGAGAGAUACUCCGUCUCAAAAAAAAAAAAAAAAAAAAAAAAAAAAAAAGAGAGAGAGAGAGAGAGAAAAAGGAAACCUAAGGAGAAAGAAUAGGUGUUCAAAUGUUAAAUGAGUAAAUGAAUGAUUGGAUUGCCUGCAUUCAUUGCAGACCCUUAGGAAAUGUUUGCUGAGCAAAUGAGUAUCAGGAUUAGGAAUGUUUAAUAGGAUCAGGGAAGCCUCCAAUGAAACCUUGUUUAAAAAUAGAAGGGACCAGUGUGGUGUUGGUUGUGUUGAGUAUGGCAGAAGAGUUAAGUGCUGCUGUGUUAUCGUUUCUGUAUCAGAGCAGUGACUCUCCCAAGUUUUCCAGCCUUUUGGCAGGUAAUAUUUUGUGGCUAAAACAGAAUACGCAGAUCUUAAUAUUUCUAUAUUUAAGUGUCAUAGGAUAUGAGCCCCUGGCAUGAUAAGAGGCAGUGUGUGUGGUGGUUUAGCAUGUAGGAGCUCAAGCCCAACUGCCUGAUGUUUGAAUUCUGAUUCCACUACUUUCCAGCCGUGUGGUCUUGGGCAAUUGUCUUAACCUUCUGGUGCCUCGAUUUCCCCAUCUAUAAAAUGGAGAUCAAAAUAGGACCUCAGCCAUUUGAAUGACAGAAUAAUUGAAUGAAAUAAUACAUACAGAGGGUCCAGCAAAGAGGCAAUAAAUGUUAGUUGUGACAACAGAGUGCCAGUUGUGGGCCAUGACAGGUGACCACUUGUGCUAAUUUUAAAGUAGAAUAACUCAAGAAAAGCACCAGACUUUUAGGUCCCUAUGUAGCUAAAUCAUCUGGCCUGGAACUAUAAUGACAAUUUCCUGAAUUUGCUAAUGACUUUCAAGCCAAUUAAACACAUCUCUAUAUGUCUCAAAGCAUUUAAUGAAAAAGUCCAUCUAAUUCUGUUGCAUUCUGUAUUUCAUUUCGUAAUUUUGACACAAUAAUCUGUUUUAUGUCCUGGUCUGUUCUGGUCCAUUUCAUUUGAUUUCAUUCUGUUUGCAUUCCUAUAGUGUAUUCCACACCAUUUCAUAUUCCAUCGCAUUCCAUUCUACACAAUUCCACAUCUCCCCGGCCACAUCAGCCUGAGAGUAAUAAACAGACCUUGCCAUCGUAUCCCCUUUUGGAGACACAAGCCAGGAAGGAAGCUCUUCAGUGCAGCUGUGAAUAGAGAAAUGCUGGCUGAGGUUUUGGAGACACUGGGUGAUCAUUCCCAGUGAAAUUUUUAGAUCCCUGGGGACAUGAGCUGCUUUGUCUUUUCCAAGGUCAGGAUAAACAGAAUAACUUCAGGCUUCUCUACCCAGAAAGAACAUGUGGCAUAAAUAUCAACUGCAGAAUAAAUAUGAUUAAUCUGGUACAUGGACGAAGAUGUUUUCUAGGAGAUGCUUAUCCUGGGAUGAGAGCUUUCAUAAGCAUUGAUAUUUACAUGACUCUUACCGUGUGUCAGGAACUGUUCUAAUUGUUUUACCUAUGUCAAUUCAUUUGAUAGUCACAACCACUGAAAGGAGUAAGUACUCUUAUUACUUCCAUUUUACAGAUAGGGAAACUGAGGUAUAGAGAAGUCAAGUGACUUGCCCGAGGUUAUUAAACUACUUAAUGUCAACACCAGGAUUUGAACCCAGAUCAUUUGUUUCUGAAGUACAUGCUCACAAUCACUGCAUUACUGAUACACUGUUUUGUCUUUGCAUACUUAAGUGGUCAUAACUUAGUCUGAAACACUUUGUGAGAGCAGGAAGCAAACUGUCCCCUUAUUAGGUGGACCAGUAUAGUGAUAAUACAAAAGUGUAUUGCAUUUGAAUUACUUGCUAAUAUCUUCUAAUUGAGGCAAUUUUGAACAGGAAUAUACAUAUCUAGCCUCUAUUUUUCUAGCUAGAAGUUCUGAAAUCCCUGGGCUUAAUAUUGUAUGGCAACAAUUGGCUGGAGUUGAGUUGCUGCCACUCUCUUUUAACUGAGCCAUGCUCUCUCUAGUUUGCUACAGGCCCCACCACUCCCUAUUGCCUCUCCAAUACCAGGUCAUUUGGCAUCUUACUCAGCUCAUUUCAUGCACAUGUGUUCCACAAUUGGUAACAUAACCCUAAAAGUAUUUGAGUUUGUGGCUUCUGCUCUUGUGACAGAAGACUUUUCUCGAAUUCCAAGGUCAACAUAUACCAUAUUGACUCUGGGCCACAUUUUUUAAUGUGCUCAAGCUCAGUUUUUCUCCUUAAAAAAUGAGGGGUUAAAAAUAACACUUCGUAGUUGCCUCAUCUGUGGAUUGGAAGAAUGAAUGCCUGUCAUUUCUAGAGUUGUAGUAAGGGCCAGUUGGGGCAGUGCCUGUGAAUAUACGCAAUGGGCCAUCAAGCAAUCUCAGGGCUUCAGGCAAUGCUGGGGUUUAUAAAGCACUUUAUGUUUUAAGUUCACUUUUAUUUCUAAAGUCUCAUUGACUGCUCUGAAAAUCUCUCAAGUAAAGUGGGCACUAAAGGCUUUAUACUCUCUCCAAUUAUACCUUCCAUUGUAUAGAUUUGGAAGCUGGGGUCCAAAUGUGUUAAAUGACUUGCCUAACAUGGUCCAUUACUGUAAGUACAGAAACGGAAUGAGACCCCAAAUCUGCUUCAUGGAGGGACACUCUUCUAAGAUACUGUGAUGCUUCUUCCCAAGUAAUUCCGUCUUCAGACUUCAAGGUCUCAAUUCGAAUGACAAUUCAAUAUAGGACUUUCAUAAUCUUAAAAGCAACCUGACAGUCAUUACAGUGGGCUGUGAGAAAUACUAACGCAGAGCCACAUACUCUGGGCUUCAUGCUAGGUUUUGCCACUCACUAUCUUUGUGACAUUGGGCCAGUGACUCAACCCAUUAAACCUCAGUUUCUUCACUUAUACAAUAGGGAUAAUGUCAUCUGUUCAGACUACCUUACAAAUUUGCUGUGAGACUCCAUUGAGAUGAUGUCAGUGAAAGCAUGAUGUCACUAUACAUUAAUAUCAGAAUGUGUAUGUCUCUUAGCCUCCUGACUAAAGACUGAGCUUCAGGAGGGUAUGUUGUAGACUGUCUUCUCUAUUCCAGGUGCUUUUGUACUUCUCACAUAAGGAUGCGUGAAAUGCCUAAACAAUAAGACCUUAGCCAUCAGGUGGUUCCAGCCAGGGAAGCAGGAGAUGGAGCCAUGAAAUGAUUCUUUUUUGGGGAUUGCUGUCAAAAAAUGAGGAAUGAUACUCGAGUUGAGGUCUGUUUGCUUUCUACCUGUGCAGGUAUCAGCCUAUGAGAUUCCAAGACAUUCUUGAUCACUAGUCAGCAGUUCACACUGUCAAAAUUCAAAAAUUACUGUUAGGGUAAAGGAACGUUGGAGUUUAAGUCAGAAGAUGUAGCUUUAAAUUUUGAUUCAGUUCUUUAGAAACUGUGUGUCCCUCUCUGGACCUCAACUGGGCUGUCAUAAUUAAAGGCGUUCUUAGACAUAGCAAGAAUUUAUAUUGGUUCUCUUCCUUCUUAUAAGCUUUAUUACAAACACGCAAAUUUUCACUGGAAGCUUGUACUAGGUUUGUAUUGUAUUUGCCUUUUUCUUAUUUUUUUCUCUCUCUUUCUUCCUGUUUUUAAAUCCACUUGUGAGCCAAGUUGGCUCUUAUUCAUUUUAUCCCGAGUUACCAAACACCCUACCCAAAUUGAGAGCAUUUCUUCUCCUCAGGCUGAAAAUACUCAGUGAGUAAACCCAAGGUCUUUAAUAGCAAGACAAUCAGAUCUGCUUAAUGUAAUUUGGUUUCUGCCUCGGAAUUAAUGUCGCAAGAAGUAUUUGAAUGAGGUUUGCUGUCUUUUUUUCUUACAGAAUUGUAGACUGGAUCUCACAAAAAUUCUGGUCAAACUAACAAAUGAUUCACUGAAGAAUGGGGGCAGAAAAAAAAAGCUGGCUGCUUGUUCCCUCUUUCUAGUUAAUGAAUCGAAUUGAUACAGGAACUUCAUCGUGUUCUCAGGGAAAUCCUGUUGGCUGGGGCUCACUCUUCAGCACCGCUAAAUUUAGGUCACGGCUCAGUGAAGAACAAUUACAGAUUCUUAAUAAAAGAUAAUUUACCCAGUGACAUCCAACAGGACAUCUGGGCAGGCGUUCUCAUUUUCUUGUUAAUGUUGUAGAGGUGGGGAGCGUGGAGUAGGGAUGAAUGUUGACAGAAAGUCAUUUUCUGACCUGCUUUGUGGCAUAUGUCAGUCCAUGCUCUUCCAGCAACUGAAAGCUGAACCUAAUGGGACCCCCACAAAAUGGUUUUCUAAAUUGGGCCAGGACAAAAAAAUGCUAAGAAGCUUAGUAGUGGGAAGGCAGAAUUCAUAAGUCCUGCAUUUGAAACCUGGUUGCUCAUGCCUUCUCUGGAUUAAUCUUUUUCUACCUUACCUUCUGCUCUCUACUAACUGCUCUCUCUACUCUUUAGCCAUGCUGAAUUAUUUUAUGGCUCUUCACAAACUGUGAUUUAUCUGUCCCACCUCCUGCCACCCUCCCUUUUUUUUUUUUUUUUUUUUUUUUUUUUUUUUAGACAGGGUCUUGCUCUUUUGCCCAGGUUGGAGUGCAGUGGUGCAAUUUUGGCUCAUUACAACCUAUUCCUGCCAGGCUCAAGUCAUUCUCUUACCUCAGCCUCCAGAGUACCUGGGUUCACAGGUGUCUGCCAUCACCCCUGGCUAGUUUUUGUAUUUUUUGUAGAGACAAGGUUUUACCAUUUUGGCUAGGCUGGUCUCAAACUCUUGAAUUCAAGCAAUCUGCCUGCCUUGGCCUCCCAAAGUGUUGGGAUUACAGGUGUGAGCCACCAUGCCUGGAUUCUCCACCUUUUUUGUCUUUGACCACCCUGUUCCUCUAGGUUGAUAUGCUUCCCCCUCCCUUUUGAAUGACUUAUUUUUGCUUUAAAACCUAUUUCCAUUGUCGUCUCUUCCAGGAAGCUUUCUGUGACCCUUGAAGGCAAAGUGUGAAGACUUUCUCUAACUCUUUGCUUGUUUUCUUCAUUAGAUUGAGCUCUGCCAAGUACAGACUGUGUCAUAGUGUUCUCAGUGUCCCAGGAGUAACCUACUCCAUUCAAAUCAGUUUUCUUAAAGUCCUAAUGGCCCCACUGUUGCCAAACACAACAGACAUUUCACAGUCCUUAUAUAUUUUCCCUUUUAAUGGAAUAUUACACUGUUUACAAGUUCCUCCUUCUUGAUGCCUUCUACUGUGGAUUGAAUUGUGCCCUCAAAAAUACGUGAAGGGCCGGGCGCGGUGGCUCACGCCUGU
rnacentral:lncRNA from 10 species